UCCGGCCAUAUCACUUUGAACAACCAGUUCUGCAUGACCACUGAAGUUAAGUAACGUCGAGCCUGGUCAGUAUUUAGAAGGGUGUCCGCUUGGGAAUAUCAGGUGCUGUAAG